UGUUGCUGUCUGGCCGUUUCCUAUUUAUUCGGCUCGCUGGCUGGUUGGCGGGUUGGCGGUGGAAGGCCGUUCCGGUGAAACUGCUUAAUCCGAUUGUCAAUGCCGAGAGGAAGCACACAGGAAUCGUAUUAUGUUUUAUUCGUUCCGGAUGCGGCCAGAGCAUCGUCAUCAGUACAGAGGCUGGUUAGGGGUACAAAUCCAUGCCGGAAACCGGUCGCGGUGGCAGUUGCUUCCCUUUGUGUGGCCGACGUACUUUCAAUGCUGGCUGGAGGAUUAUCUGGAAAAUGUAUUGGGGAAAAAAGCGAAAAAAAAAGACUGUCAUACAUGAAGAGAUUUGAGCUGACAAAGGAAAUCAACGCGCGCUCGUUGUGCCGUGGGAAAUGUUUGCGUUAGGUAUUAAAUUUUCGUUGGAAGGAUAAAGGCUGGAAAUAGAUAUAGAUAUUUUUGGUAUUGAA